rnacentral:rRNA from 1 species
CUAACAAGGAUUCCCCUAGUAGCGGCGAGCGAAGAGGGAAAAGCCCAGCACCGAACCUCGCGCCCCCGGGUGUCGCGGAAUGUGGUGUUUAGGAGGACCGUGCGCGUCUGUCCGGCAUCGUCCAAGUCUCCAUGAAUGGGGCCAGCAACCCAGAGAGGGUGUCAGGCCCGUAGGACUGAGCCGCGACGGCGUAUUGGGUCUCUCCUUAGAGUCGGGUUGCUUGAGAGUGCAGCCCUAAGUGGGAGGUAAACUCCUUCUAAGGCUAAAUACGGCCACGAGACCGAUAGCGAACAAGUACCGCGAGGAAAGUUGAAAAGAACUUUGAAGAGAGAGUUCAAUAGUGCGUGAAACCGUUCAGGGGGUUAAACGGGUGGGCCCUCGAAGGUCGAACGCUCCCUACUCGCGUCUCCGCUCGUCGGUCCGUGCCGCUUUUCCGAUCUCGCUACGGGACGGAGCGGUGCGGUAACUGGUGCGAGCGGGGGCGUUUAGUUAGGGGGCCAGUAGGACUCCGCAACCGUCUGGAGCAGUCGUCAGAAGGGCCCUGGUAGAAAGCCUCCUCGCGGGGUGGACUCUGGGGUUCCGGGCGAUCUCUCCGGCCGUGAACCGCAUUCCACUCGGGCGGAGAGUAGAGUCGGGUCCCACCCGACCCGUCUUGAAACACGGACCAAGGAGUCUAACAUGUGCGCGAGUCGUCGGGAUUAUCACUAAACCCGAAGGCGCAAUGAAAGUGAAGAUCGACCUCGUCGUUGAUCUAGGGGAGAUCCCGUUCUGCUCCGGUAGCUCGGGCGCAUCCCCGGGCGUCGAAGCCGCGUUGCCGGCUAGACGCACCAAGAGCGUACACGUUGGGACCCGAAAGAUGGUGACCUAUGCCUGGCCAGGACGAAGCCAGGGGAAACCCUGGUGGAGGUCCGCAGCGAUUCUGACGUGCAAAUCGAUCGUCGGAGUUGGGUAUA